UGUUUUUGUGGGAGAAAAUUUUGAUGAAAAACACUCACUUUAGAAGUGAAUAUUUUACAUACAGCUUGGCAAGUUAAUAUACAUUUACCUGGGGGCAUUAACGCAUCUGGGGUUUUAGUAUUUUUAUGCUCAAUAUCAGUAUAACUAAGUGUCAAUGAUUUUUUCCCCCCUCUUUUUUAUCUGGUUGUGUUUAGUUUUGUUAUGUUUGUCUGAGUUUACUUGGGACUUUACUGUAUUAUUUGGUUGCAGUGGCCAAUUAGCCAUGUGUGUCAUUCACCUAAAUUUUGUGUUGGUGGCAUCUAAUGUGAGCUAGAAGUCUGGUUUCACCUUUAGGUUAUCAACUACAUCCACUUUUUAAAUGAAUUUUUUGGGAAAGUAGGACUGUUGACACUUUCUUGCUAUGAUUUUUUGUCUUGCUGCACUGAAUUUCACUGUCUUGUUUGAGUUCGCUG
rnacentral:misc_RNA from 1 species